AGGACGAACGCUGGCGGCGUGCUUAACACAUGCAAGUCGAGCGGAAAGGCCCUUCGGGGUACUCGAGCGGCGAACGGGUGAGUAACACGUGAGUAACCUGCCCUAGGCUUUGGGAUAACCCUCGGAAACGGGGGCUAAUACCGGAUAUUCACUUCGCACGGCAUCGUGUGUGGUGGAAAGUUUUUCGGCUUGGGAUGGGCUCGCGGCCUAUCAGCUUGUUGGUGGGGUGAUGGCCUACCAAGGCGACGACGGGUAGCCGGCCUGAGAGGGCGACCGGCCACACUGGGACUGAGACACGGCCCAGACUCCUACGGGAGGCAGCAGUGGGGAAUAUUGCACAAUGGGCGGAAGCCUGAUGCAGCGACGCCGCGUGAGGGAUGAAGGCCUUCGGGUUGUAAACCUCUUUCGACAGGGACGAAGCGCAAGUGACGGUACCUGGAGAAGAAGCGCCGGCCAACUACGCGCCAGCAGCCGC
rnacentral:rRNA from 1 species